UUCAUGGUUUCGAUUGUUGGUGAGCACCUGUUCUUUAUCAGCGAGCAGCUCGAGAAUUCAUUCUAAUUCGCCACAUUGUGUCACAGAGAACUAGUUACAUGUAGGUUUUGUCGUGCUACCGAAAUGUAGGGGCGGUAUCUGUCGCGUACGGCUCAUUUUACUGGACAAUCCUGCAGUAAAACAUAAAAUUACCGGGUUCUCAGGCGACUGCUUCUAGUGGGCCGUGGCUGUGACCCCGCGAGGUUGUUCUUACCUUUUUUGUGCCGCAAAACGUAUAUUGAACUGCGCUGCGCAGCACAACACAAACAUUUUCACUCAUAGACUACGAAAGCAAGCACCAUGGCGUUUCAUUGAGCCACGUCCAAGUCUAAUCUCACAUAACAGCGACGAGUUCGAACAAAAUGAAAAACACUCAGUUGUGAAAACGCCAAACGCCGGUGUAGCCUAUUUUUUGUCAGAUGGCAAAGGAUUUCUUGGAAGGCCCACACUACGCUAGCUAACCUGGGUGGCUUGAACAAUAGGCGUCUGGAAGAUGGAUGGCUUCUAGUCAAGCCCUCCUAACAAAGAGACCAAAGAGACUGUGGAAAGGGCGUACAGUAUGCUUUAUUCCUGAAUCGCACAGAGAGAAGGCAGCAAUAAUCUACCAGUGGACUGAAUACGCAACAGGAAACAAAUGUUCAGUGAUGACAAAGGCUUGGAAUGUGUUGAGAGCACCAUUCCCUGCACCGUCUCCACACUGCUAUUGCAGUUUUUACAAAGCAAAGGUGAAACCCAGCAGGAAAGGAGCAAAAAGGCACAUCUCUUUCUGGAGGAGAGGAGGCCAGCUCCAUAUGCCUUCACACCAUCGCCCUGCUUGCACAGCCCGAACUCCACAGUGAACCAGUAGAGCUGAG